GGGCGGAUGUAGCCAAGUGGAUUAAGGCGGUGGAUUGUGAAUCCACCUGGCC
rnacentral:tRNA from 1 species